CAGCCGCCGCGGUAAUACCGGCGGCCCGAGUGGCGGCCACUAUUAUUGGGCUUAAAGCGUCCGUAGCCGGGUUGGUUAGUCUCCCGGGAAAUCUGGCCGCUUAACGGUCAGAAUUCCGGGAGAUACUGCCAGCCUAGGGACCGGGAGAGGCCGAGGGUAUUCCCGGAGUAGGGGUGAAAUCCUAUAAUCCCGGGAGGACCACCUGUGGCGAAGGCGCUCGGCUGGAACGGGUCCGACGGUGAGGGACGAAGGCCAGGGGAGCAAACCGGAUUAGAUACCCGGGUAGUCCUGGCUGUAAACGAUGCGGACUUUGUGUCGGACAAGCUAUGAGCUUGUCCGGCGCCGGAGGGAAACCGUUAAGUCCGCCGCCUGGGGAGUACGGCCGCAAGGCUGAAACUUAAAGGAAUUGGCGGG
rnacentral:rRNA from 1 species